GACAGAUAGAGUGCCUGAUGAGCUAUGGAAUGAGGUUCGUGACAUUGUACAGGAGACACAUACCCUGUAUGUGUAUCAAGAUCAAGACCAUACCCAUGUAUGUGUAUGGAUCAAGACCAUCCCCAUGGAAAAGAAAUGCAAAAAAGCAAAAUGGCUGUCUAGGGAGGCCUUACAAAUAGCUAUGAAAAGAAGAGAAGCGAAAAGCAAAGGAGAAACGGUAAGAUGUAAACAUCUGAAUGCAGAGUUCCAAAGAAUAGCAAGAAGAGAUAAGAAAGCCUUCCUCAGCGAUCAAUGCAAAGAAAUAGAGGAAAACAACAGAAUGGGAAAGACUAGGGAUCUCUUCAACAAAAUCAGAGAUAUCAAAGGAACAUUUCAUGCAAAGAUGGGCUCGAUAAAGGACAGAAAUGGUAUGGACCUAAGAGAAGCAGAAGAUAUUAAGAAGAGAUGGCAAGAAUACACUGAAGAAUUGUACAAAAAAGAUCUUCAUGGCCCAGAUAAUCACGAUGGUGUGAUCACUGACCUAGAGCCAGACAUCCUGGAAUGUGAAGUCAAGUGGGCCUUAGAAAGCAUCACUAUGAACAAAGCUAGUGGAGGUGAUGGAAUUCCAGUUGAGCUAUUCCAAAUCCUGAAAGAUGAUGUUGUGAAAGUGCUGCACUCAAUAUGCCAGAUUUGGAAAACUGAGCAGUGGCCACAGGACUGGAAAAGGUCAGUUUUCAUUCCAAUCCCAAAGAAAGGCAAUGCCAAAGAAUGCUCAAACUACUGCACAAUUGCACUUAUCUCACAUGCUAGUAAGGUAAUGCUUAAAAUUCUCCAAGCCAGGCUUCAGCAGUACGUGAAACGUGAACUUCCUGAUGUUCAAGCUGGUUUUAGAAAAGGCAAAGGAACCAGAGAUCAAAUUGCCAACAUCCGCUGGAUCAUGGAAAAAGCAAGAGAGUUCCAGAAAAACAUCUAUUUCUGCUUUAUUGACUAUGCCAAAGCCUUUGACUGUGUGGAUCACAGUAAACUGUGGAAAAUUCUGAAAGAGGUGGGAAUACCAGACCACCUGAUCUGCCUCUUGAGAAAUGUGUACGCAGGUCAGGAAGUAACAGUUAGAACUGGACAUGGAACAACAGAC
rnacentral:lncRNA from 1 species